GAUGAACGCUGGCGGCGUGCCUAAUACAUGCAAGUCGAGCGAACAGACGAGGAGCUUGCUCCUCUGACGUUAGCGGCGGACGGGUGAGUAACACGUGGAUAACCUACCUAUAAGACUGGGAUAACUUCGGGAAACCGGAGCUAAUACCGGAUAAUAUAUUGAACCGCAUGGUUCAAUAGUGAAAGACGGUUUUGCUGUCACUUAUAGAUGGAUCCGCGCCGCAUUAGCUAGUUGGUAAGGUAACGGCUUACCAAGGCGACGAUGCGUAGCCGACCUGAGAGGGUGUUCGGCCACACUGGAACUGAGCCACGGUCCAGACUCCUACGGGAGGCAGCAGUAGGGAAUCUUCCGCAAUGGGCGAAAGCCUGACGGAGCAACGCCGCGUGAGUGAUGAAGGUCUUCGGAUCGUAAAACUCUGUUAUUAGGGAAGAACAAAUGUGUAAGUAACUAUGCACGUCUUGACGGUACCUAAUCAGAAAGCCACGGCUAACUACGUG
rnacentral:rRNA from 1 species